AAGUGUUCCUUUCACUUUUUCUUUUUCUAGAACAUUCAUUUUGUCUUUGGUUUUCUCAUUGUUUUUAGAUCUGAAAACUUCUUUUGUGGAUUUGAAUUUCAUUUUCAAGACAACUUCAAAAUUUGGUUAUGGAGUGAUGUUUUCCAAAACUUCAGAGUUAGCAGCGGUGGCAACUUCCACUUCGACGACGAAAAUUGCCACCUUGGUGCACCGUCUCCUCCUACCAAAUUCACCCACUUCUCUGCCUUGAGUUUUUUUAGAUAUGCUUGUUCUGGAGAAAAAUUCAAGGUGCUAGAUCUAAAGCUUUUUGUUUGUGCUUAUUAAUUUUGCAAUUCGUGCUCAAUGUUUUGUCGAAUUACGGAAGUUGGUAGUUUUUCAUGGGAUUUUAGUUGGUUAAAGGUACCACAUCAAUGACAAAAAGCCCUAAAUUUUCUUAGAAUUUGUUCAUGAAUUAGCGAAAAAGAUAAAACUCAUUUAUUAUUGGGUUUCAGUUUCGCUUUACUUUAUUGAUGCUUUCAAACAUCCUGAUUCACUUGAAGUAUGUUAAAAAAUAGGGUGUUUUCAUUCCAAUAUUUUGAUUCUGCUUGAAAAGCUCUUUUCUUGAUGUGCGAGCAUCAAUUUUUAUGCUUUGCAGCCUAUUUGGAGGAUUCUGCAAGUGUGCAAGCUGGGCUGUAACAUUUGAGCAAUAUCCUUCUUUAGGUAAUCGUGUUGUGCGUACUUUCAAAUCGACGUACCUACCAUAAUUGAAAAUGAAAACAUUAAGGACUAGAUAACAUAAUUCUUCUUCUCAAAUCUUUUGUAUGAAUCAGCUCUAUACUGUUUAAUUAUCACCACAAUAAACGAAAGCAAAGAAAUUCACAAGCAAUUAAUUUUAUAUCAUUCAAGUAUUUCCAUACCACAUAUUUGCUUUCUAUAUUAGAAUUUAUUGAAUGAGAAACAAUGCAUUAAACUCCAUGAAGGAGAAGAUGAAUUACACUCCAUGAAAGGAGGAAAUGAACAGCUCCAUAAAAGGAGGAGGACACUCCAUAAUAGGAUGAAAUGAAACCUCCAUGGAAGGAGGGAUUGGAGGACAAUCUAAUAGACUAAAAAUUCAUCCACGGUGCUGUAUUUAUAGAGCAAAAUGGCUAAAGUAAUUAACUAACUAAUUAGCUAAUUAACAAACUAAUCACUAACCAACUAACAACUAAGACAGCUGGACACAACCGUUUGGAAUCUGAUAUGUUGAGAUGGAAGUCUCUAGAAUUUGGUGCACACAUGAUGCUGGAAUCUGCUGAUGUUUGGUGCAUGUGUAUUCCAACAUUCUAUUCUUUAUCUAUGUCGUUUGAUUUUUGUUAAUUUUAAAGCAACAUUUAAAAUUCUCCAAAAGGGAUUGCUAUUAUGUUUCACAACCUUAUGUCGAUCAUAUUAUCUUUGUAGUGUACGCCAUAAAAAGGGUGUUGAAGUGAGUUUUUUCCUGUUGAGAUGAGCCAAUUAGUGGUAGAUUUAUAUGUGUUGUUGUGUAUGUAUUUUCGCAGUUUGUAUAAUAUAUCUGCAAGAACGUAGGAUUUGACUUUUGAAAAUAGCUCUGAUUCACCAUGUCUCAGAAACUGGUUUGACAUAUCCAGCAAGUGAGAAGUGAUACAAAAGUUGAGACAACAAUUAAAGAGAAAAGAAGAUAUGAUGCUAGAAAUACAAGAUCAAAUUGCAAAACUUUGAGACUCUCUGUGAAGUGCUUUUGUAUUCUUCCCAUCUACAAUAGCUGCUCGAUUCUACAAACAGGGAUCUGUUUGAUUCCAAAGGAAAAUAUAGAGAUUAAGAAAGGCAAUUGCAGAUAAUUAUGGGGGACAAAUGGUUUUUGGUGACAAUCCCCCUGCUGUACAUCUAGCCGAAGGAAGGAAUGGCCACACAAAUGGAUAUUCAUAUAACUGAGAAAACGUUUUGAAAAAAAAAUUCAAAGAUAAUUAUUUUUAGAACUGAAAAGUUAUAUGUUUGAAUUAAUUUUCAUGCUAUUAUAUUUAUUCAAGACACCUUUCGGUAAGCUUCCAAGAUUGAGCUUCUUUGUUCAUCUUUAGUAAUUAACUGAUGACUGUAGGUGUUUAGUCAAAAAUGCUUGUUUGGUUUUGCCGUUCUUAAUUAAUCUUCAGAUUCGAUUGAUUUUCUUGAUUUUUGGUUUUUUUUUUUUCAUUAGUAAGCAAAAAGAAAAAAAAAAAAUUUGUUGUUCUGAUUAUAUGUCGUAAUUUAUUGUAUCUAUUUAAUGAGUUAAACCAGGUGGUAUUACCUAAUUGUUUCUACGCACAAUUGAAAAACAAUGUAAUUUCGUUCUUCACAUGUCCUAUUACUAAAUAGUAUUUGCACUUUAGCGACAUGAGUUUUUUGUUGAUUUGCUUGAAGUGAGAUGUGUUUGAUGUUACAGGUGCCUUCCAGAAUUUCAGGGACUACAUCAAAUUUUUUUCAUUAAUAAACUCGAGAUCUAAUAUAAACAACCCAAUUUCCUGCAAUUUAUUAAGGAAGUUAAGGAUAUGGAUCUGGAUUUAUGGUAUUUUG
rnacentral:lncRNA from 1 species